AGCCCCUCCCCCCCAGCCCUUCUCCCCUCUCACCCAGCUCCAGCCCCUCUCACCCAGCUCCAGCCCCUCUCACACAGCCCCUCCCCCAGCCCUUCUGCCCUCUCCCACUCUUCUUCCUCACUUUAAUUGGUUUGUUAGGUCUGGAAUGUCAUUCACAUGACUCCCAACAAAGAUUGGCGCCUAGAUAAAUAUUGAUUGUCAUAUGAGCUGCAGUGAUGUUUUCUGUACACUCAGUACUUAGUUCUUAAUAAGGAUAAUGUAGGUUAUUGCAGUGAUGUUUUCAGUACACUCAGUACUUAGUUCUUAGUAAGGAUAAUGUAGGUUAUUGCCAACUGUUUUUUUAAAGAGCUCUCCUCAUUUUUGCACUGAUUAAACACAUAUUGUCUCAUUUUAUAUUUACUUAUUGGCAGUGUAAAUCUAGCCUUCUCAAGAUUCCCUAAAAACCCAAUGUGGAUCUAAAAAAUACAAUGUAGAAUUUCUGUCCUGUGAAUUUCCUUGUGCUCAUUAUGACAGUACACCUGCUCAUCAGUCUAGUGAAUGGAA